rnacentral:lncRNA from 1 species
GCAAUUUCAACAUAAUUAGAAGGUAGCAUCUUUUAUGCCAACAUUAUUUUAGGACAGAACACUCUGUCUACACAUAACAAGUGGCACACAGAGCUGUGAACAUGUUGAAGCAUGCCUUUCGAGUGUAAGCAAUGUAAUAAUAUUAUAUACUAGAUCAUAAAAGAUUACCAUGAGACUUCCUUCUUAGUUUUCUGAUCACAUAAUGGUGGACGUUUUGUUCUGUCGUGUGCAUAACAGGAAUAUGAGGAAGGCUUUUGAUAUAUUACAAGCCCAAUUUCAGUUGAAUCAAAAUUGUCACGUUUAGCCACAACCUUCCAGCAGAUUGAUUGUGUCAAAGCCAC